GCUCCUUCUGCCCUUCCGUCUACUGUUACUACAGCAGAAUAUUGACUGUGACGUAAACACAGACAGUGAGGGAGCCGAUCACAGCAACUUUAGAUCUGCAGAGCUGUCAGUCAUGAAGUGGGUCCAUGACGUAGGUGAUGACGAGUGGACACAGCCAGGCUGGAGACAAGGAUUCUUCAAACACCAAGCAAUCGAUGAUAGGCCAGGGUAAAAACCUCUAAGGCCCUCAGUACUUACGGACCCCGAGACCACUGGAGGUUCUGGAGUCUUUGCUGGUGAGCUCAUGAUGCAGCCUGGGUGAAUCCAACGCUGGAAUCAAACUGGAGAAACUUCCAUAGGAGAGAGGGGCUCUUUAUGGGAAAAGGCUGCUCUCAAAUUUAAAUUUACAGCGCUGAAGAGGCGUCAGAUGCCAGUAUCUCGGCGGGAAGGUGU